rnacentral:lncRNA from 1 species
AACCUAGGGUUUAAAGGCUUGUUGCACGUGCUAAGUGCAAUCGUGACUCCCUAUGAAAAUGGGUACAUAUCUUAGUUUGUGUAUUUAGCUUCAAUAAAAAAAAGAAAAAAAAAUCAUAAGUUUGACUACAUCUUUUUAUGCCCUCAUUUUAACGUUUGCUUGUUAAUUGCUAGAGACUAGCAAUAAGCUAGUUGGGGGGUGUGAUGAGAGCACAAAAGUGCGACCUACAUAUCACCUAAAUUAGUAUUAUUGCUAACUGAUAAUGAUAAAUUCACUGGAUUAAUAUUAUAUUUGGGUUUGACACAGAUUUUCAUAAAUUAGAGAUAAAAUGCACAUUGAGUACAAAUUUGACUAAAGAGUGAUCCCGUCCCAGAUCCGACCCAGUUGAAGAUCGGGUCGGAUCCGAGUCGGGUUCGGGUCCGAGUCGGGUCCAAUUUUUUUAGGCUUAUUGAGAAAGAAUUUUGGGCAAAUUUAAUUUGG